rnacentral:rRNA from 1 species
GGUUAAGCGACUAAGCGUACACGGUGGAUGCCCUGGCAGUCAGAGGCGAUGAAGGACGUGCUAAUCUGCGAUAAGCGUCGGUAAGGUGAUAUGAACCGUUAUAACCGGCGAUUUCCGAAUGGGGAAACCCAGUGUGAUUCGUCACACUAUCAUUAACUGAAUCCAUAGGUUAAUGAGGCGAACCGGGGGAACUGAAACAUCUAAGUACCCCGAGGAAAAGAAAUCAACCGAGAUUCCCCCAGUAGCGGCGAGCGAACGGGGAGCAGCCCAGAGCCUGAAUCAGUGUGUGUGUUAGUGGAAGCGUCUGGAAAGGCGCGCGAUACAGGGUGACAGCCCCGUACACAAAAAUGCACAUACUGUGAGCUCGAUGAGUAGGGCGGGACACGUGGUAUCCUGUCUGAAUAUGGGGGGACCAUCCUCCAAGGCUAAAUACUCCUGACUGACCGAUAGUGAACCAGUACCGUGAGGGAAAGGCGAAAAGAACCCCGGCGAGGGGAGUGAAAAAGAACCUGAAACCGUGUACGUACAAGCAGUGGGAGCACGCUUAGGCGUGUGACUGCGUACCUUUUGUAUAAUGGGUCAGCGACUUAUAUUCUGUAGCAAGGUUAACCGAAUAGGGGAGCCGAAGGGAAACCGAGUCUUAACUGGGCGUUAAGUUGCAGGGUAUAGACCCGAAACCCGGUGAUCUAGCCAUGGGCAGGUUGAAGGUUGGGUAACACUAACUGGAGGACCGAACCGACUAAUGUUGAAAAAUUAGCGGAUGACUUGUGGCUGGGGGUGAAAGGCCAAUCAAACCGGGAGAUAGCUGGUUCUCCCCGAAAGCUAUUUAGGUAGCGCCUCGUGAAUUCAUCUCCGGGGGUAGAGCACUGUUUCGGCAAGGGGGUCAUCCCGACUUACCAACCCGAUGCAAACUGCGAAUACCGGAGAAUGUUAUCACGGGAGACACACGGCGGGUGCUAACGUCCGUCGUGAAGAGGGAAACAACCCAGACCGCCAGCUAAGGUCCCAAAGUCAUGGUUAAGUGGGAAACGAUGUGGGAAGGCCCAGACAGCCAGGAUGUUGGCUUAGAAGCAGCCAUCAUUUAAAGAAAGCGUAAUAGCUCACUGGUCGAGUCGGCCUGCGCGGAAGAUGUAACGGGGCUAAACCAUGCAC